rnacentral:ncRNA from 2 species
CGAUAUGUUGUGUCCGUCGGUGCCAAUCCAGACCUACGGUCGGGCUGGCUUAAUAGGGAAUCCGGUGCGAAUCCGGAACUGCCCCGCAGCGGUAAGCGGAAACGAACGCCAUCACAUGCACUGGCCGCCAUGGCUGGGAAGCGAAGGCAAGUAGGCGGGUCGCAAGACCCAUGUCCGCGAGUCCGAAGACCUGCCGACGCGAUACGACCGGA